rnacentral:rRNA from 1 species
AAUAGCCGAACGGCUGAACCAGCAAUUUGGAAGAAUCUAAAACAAAGUCACAUGUAUAAAAUUCUAGAUAGAAAACAAAUAAUGACAAAUAUCUAUCUAUUAGUCUUGACCAAACUACGUGCCAGCAGUCGCGGCAACACGGAGAAGACAAGUGUUAUUCAUUUUUAAUCGGUUUAAAGGGUACCUAGACGGGAAAUAAAGCCGGAGUAGGAACUAAUUUUCUAGAGUUUUAAGUAAGAAAGUCGAAUAGCUGGAGAAGAGAUAAAAUAUUUUGAUACCAGAUAGACGGUUAACGGCAUAGGCAACUUUCUAAAUUAUAACUGACGUUGAGGAACGAAGCCCUGGGUAACUAAAAGGAUUAGAUACCCGAUUAGUCCAGGGAGACAAUGAUGAAUGCCAUAAAUGAAAGCACAAGCAUUCCACCUUAAGACUAAAGCGGCAACGCCCAAAUUGAAAUCAUUAGACCGUUCCUGAAACCAGUAGUGAAGUAUGUUAUUUAAUUUGAUGGUCCGCAAACCACCUUACCACGUUUUGAAUAUUAUUAGAUUAAUACAAGCGUUGCACGGCUGUCUUUAGCUAAUGUCGUGAGGCUUUGGUUAACUCCUUUAAUAAGCGAAAACCCUUGUUUUAUUUAUCUAUAAAACAGUUCUCCACUUACAACGGAUAAGAUAAUAGGGAUUAAGACAAGUCAUCAUGGCCUUAAURACGU